AACACUAUAAGAUAAUCAUGAUCAUUUAAUGGACUUUGGAUGGUGAUGAGCCAUGAAUGAUAUUUUGUAAUUGACCUUGCUUGUCUAUCUCCUCAAUGGGAUGAAGAUCCCCUGCAAUGGACCUACCACUAUCUUAGAGACCUCCUUGUUGUUCCUGCCUAACUAGGAUGCAUGGUGCUGCAAUAUGGGUUUAUUCAUGUUGGAUAUAAAAAGCAAAUAUGGAACCACAGUAAAUUAUUUGUGUAGCCAUGUCUGCAUUUAUAUCCUUGAACAUGAGAACAAUAUAUGCUACUCCUUUUGAAGCACUUGACUGCCGAACUUCAAUUUCCAUAAAUAACUUGCAAAUGUUGGGAAACUUAUUCCCCAUAUGAGUGAGGACUUUAAACUUUCACUUAACUCGUCUCAAGCUUGGUUAAACUUUUCUUUAACUCAUCCCAAGCUUGGUUAAAGGAGGCGGGUUACGUUAAGUAGGCAGCCAUCAUUAAACUUUGCCACAUUUAUCAUGAAUCUUGAACCUGUAUUAUAUGCAUAAGACAAGAAUGGAAAUAAUUAGGAAUAAAUACAUACGAGGGAACUUAGGUGUCGCAUUAAUAGGCGAGAAGAUGAGGUAAAGAAGACUUUAGGUGCAUUGUGUUUGUGCAAUGUAAACCUAAUAUAGCACUUGUUAGGAGGUGCAAUUUGGUUCAAGUGGAAAGCUCUAAAAGGGCAAGGGGAAGGCCUAAAAGGACAUGGAUAGUAAGUAAUAAGAAAAGAUAUGGUGCCUUCUAGCCUUAUUGGGGGUAUGACCGUUGAUGGAGAAGCAUAGAGGAAUAGGAUUCAUGUGGUGGAUGAUGAUCUUCCAUACAUCAUUUAUCUUCUUAAAAGCCUCACAAGCUCCCUUACACCCUUCUAGAAACUACUCCUCCAAUGCUAAAAAAAACAGAGGUAGGUACCUAGGUGGCUAGGGGUCAUGGUCGUCUAGGCUGGAGUCCAAGAACCUACGGAGCCCUAGUUUGAGUUAUGGGCUUCAAGCUCUAUGGGAAGUUCAUAGCGGCAGUUCAUGGACAUUGAAACCCCUAAAAUGUUCCCCAAACACCUUUGAAUGUCAUUUUUUAGAGCUUUUGCAUCUUAUGUUGUUAUUUAAUUGCUACUUGAAAUUUAUACAUGAAUUAGAUUGAAACUUGAAUUUGAAAUGCCAUAACUUUAUGAGGUUUACUGGCCCCAAAUCCAUAAAAAGUUGCAUUUCAUUGUUCAUUAUCAACAUUGGACAAUAGGUAACUCUAAGGCAAAGUUAACACAUUAAAAAGAAAAUGGCAAACAAAACUCAAAAUAAUGAACCAUUAAAACAUGAGGCAUGAUGUUCGCAUUGGAUCAACUCAGUAUUACAUAUUCAUCAUCACACCUUAAUAGAAGAUGAUGACGAUUCCAUUGCCAUCAUCAUUAGAGUCAUCCCCCUUCUCAACAUACUCAUCUUUGUCCCUUGCGUCCUCCGAGUUUGCUUCUUGCUCUUCAUGCUACUCUCUCACUCUCAUCAACCUGUCCCCUUCCUUUGGGAUUUAGAUCUAGUGGUUUGCACAUAGCUCAAUGGUGUCCUAGAACCUUAUGAACUUGGCUCGAUGUCAAUCUCUCUCAAGGGCAUACCUAAUUAUCCCCAUCAUCAACCAUCCACUCGCUACUAUCAUUCACAUUAUCAACAACAAGAGCCUCCCUAUCAUUGUGAUCCUGAUACUGCUCCUUUAGCUUUGGUAAUAUUGAAUGAAG
rnacentral:lncRNA from 1 species